rnacentral:rRNA from 1 species
GAUGAACGCUGGCGGCGUGCCUAAUACAUGCAAGUCGAGCGAACAGACGAGGAGCUUGCUCCUCUGACGUUAGCGGCGGACGGGUGAGUAACACGUGGAUAACCUACCUAUAAGACUGGGAUAACUUCGGGAAACCGGAGCUAAUACCGGAUAAUAUAUUGAACCGCAUGGUUCAAUAGUGAAAGACGGUUUUGCUGUCACUUAUAGAUGGAUCCGCGCCGCAUUAGCUAGUUGGUAAGGUAACGGCUUACCAAGGCAACGAUGCGUAGCCGACCUGAGAGGGUGAUCGGCCACACUGGAACUGAGACACGGUCCAGACUCCUACGGGAGGCAGCAGUAGGGAAGCUGCCGAAAUGGGCGAAAGCGUGACGGAGCAAAGCCGCGUGAGUGAUGACGGUCUUCGGAUCGGAAAACUCUGUUAUGAGGGAAGAACAAAUGUGUAAGUAACUAUGCACGUCUUGACGGUACCUAAUCAGAAAGCCACGGCUAAGUACGUG